GAUGAACGCUGGCGGCGUGCUUAACACAUGCAAGUCGAACGGUGAAGGCGGAGCUUGCUCUGUUGGACCAUUGCCGAACGCGGGAGUAACACGUGAGCAAACCGCCCCUGACUCUGGGGGAAGCGCUGGAAACGCCGGCUAAUACUGCAGACGAGCUGCGAAGCCACCUUCAUCAGCAGUAAAGAAUGUUGGUCAGGUAUGAUCUCGCGGGCUAUCAGCUUGUUUGUGAGGUAAUGGCUCACCAAGCCGUCGACGGGUAGCCGGCCUGAGAGGGUGACCGGCCACCCUGGGACUGAGGGACGGCCCAGACUGCUACGGGAGGCAGCAGUGGGGAAUAUUGCACAAUGGGCGAAAGCCUGAUGAAGAAAGGCUGCGUGAGGGAAGACGGCCUUCGGGUGGUAAACCAAUUUUAGCAGGGACGAAGCGAAAGUGACGGUACCUGAAGAAAAAGCCCCGGCUAACUACGUG
rnacentral:rRNA from 1 species